rnacentral:rRNA from 1 species
AGUGAGCGCUGGCGGUAGGCCUAACACAUGCAAGUCGAACGGCAGCACAGUAAGAGCUUGCUCUUACGGGUGGCGAGUGGCGGACGGGUGAGGAAUACAUCGGAAUCUACUUUUUCGUGGGGGAUAACGUAGGGAAACUUACGCUAAUACCGCAUACGACCUACGGGUGAAAGCAGGGGAUCUUCGGACCUUGCGCGAUUGAAUGAGCCGAUGUCGGGUUAGCUAGUUGGCGGGGUAAAGGCCCACCAAGGCGACGAUCCGUAGCUGGUCUGAGAGGAUGAACAGAGAGAGGAGGACUGAGACACGGACCAGACGACUAAGGGAGGCAGCAGUGGGGAAGGGGGGACAAUGGGGGCGAGCAUGAACCAACAAUCCCGAGUGUGAGAAGAAAGCCUUCAGGUUGUAAAGCACUUUUGGAAGGGAAAAAAAGGAGCGGGCUAAUACCCCGUGGAACUGACGGUACCUGGAAAAUAAGCACCGGCUAACUACGUG